GACGAACGCUGGCGGCGUGCCUAAUACAUGCAAGUAGAACGCUGAAGCUUGGUGCUUGCACCGAGCGGAUGAGGUGCGAACGGGUGAGUAACGCGUAGGUAACCUGCCUGGUAGCGGGGGAUAACUAUUGGAAACGAUAGCUAAUACCGCAUAAGAGUAGAUGUUGCAUGACAUUUGCUUAAAAGGUGCAAUUGCAUCACUAACAGAUGGACCUGCGUUGUAUUAGCUAGUUGGUGAGGUAACGGCUCACCAAGGCAACGAUACAUAGCCGACCUGAGAGGGUGAUCGGCCCCACUGGGACUGAGACACGGCCCAGACUCCUACGGGAGGCAGCAGUAGGGAAUCUUCGGCAAUGGACGGAAGUCUGACCGAGCAACGCCGCGUGAGUGAAGAAGGUUUUCGGAUCGUAAAGCUCUGUUGUAAGAGAAGAACGAGUGUGAGAGUGGAAAGUUCACACUGUGACGGUAUCUUACCAGAAAGGGACGGCUAACUACGUG
rnacentral:rRNA from 1 species